rnacentral:rRNA from 1 species
CAGUCGCCACGGGAAUACAGAGGGUGCAAGCGUUAAUCGGAAUUACUGGGCGUAAAGCGCGCGUAGGUGGUUCGCCAAGUUGGAUGUGAAAGCCCCGGGCUCAACCUGGGAACUGCAUCCAAAACUGGCAAGCUAGAGUACGGUAGAGGGUGGUGGAAUUUCCUGUGUAGCGGUGAAAUGCGUAGAUAUAGGAAGGAACACCAGUGGCGAAGGCGACCACCUGGACUGAUACUGACACUGAGGUGCGAAAGCGUGGGGAGCAAACAGGAUUAGAUACCCCCGUAGUCCCUGUCUCUUAUAC